UGAGAGGGCGCGCGCACAUGCGUGUGUGUUAGUGUGCGUGUGUGUGUGAGUGUGUGACGUCACAGCCUGCCGUUGGUCGAGCUCAGUUCGGAUCAGUUCGGAUCAGCCGUUGUUUCCUCCGGAGAUAAACGGAUCUUAACCCGCCUCGUCCCGGUUCUGACCCGGGAAACUUUUAACCCGAGACAAGUGUCAGGAAGCUCCGGCGGAGGGAGGGAGCGGAGCCGCUGUUCUGUCAACGUAACGUCCGUAACGUGAGUCUGCUCCGGCGGCUGUUCACCGUCUGUCCGGAGCUGCUCCACCGGGGAUCGAACAUCGAGGCCGGUCACCGGACCGACCGCUGAGAUGGAGAGGAAGAGGACGGACUGUCCCGCUCUGCCGCCCGGGUGGAAGAAGGAGGAAGUGAUCAGGAAGUCCGGGCUGAGCGCCGGGAAGAGCGACGUCUACUACUACAGUCCCACAGGGAAGAAGUUCAGGAGUAAGCCACAGUUGUCCCGUUACCUUGGCAACACGGUGGAUCUGGGAUGUUUCGACUUCCGGACGGGGAAGAUGAUGCCGGGGAAACUUCAGAAGAACAAACAGAGGCUUCGACACGACUCGCUCAGCCUGGCCAAGGGAGGAAAACCAGACCUGAACACAGCUCUGCCAAUCAGACAAACAGCCUCCAUCUUCAAACAGCCCGUUACCAAGGUUACAAACCAUCCCGGAAACAAGGUGAAGACGGACACGCAGAGAUCGUCUGAGCAGCCGAGACAGCUGUUUUGGGAGAAGAGGUUGAAAGGUCUCCGGUCCUCAGACGUCACAGAGGAAGUUCUCAGGACCAUGGACUUGCCCAAAGGGCUGCAGAGUGUCGGUCCAGACUCCGGCGACGACACCCUCCUGUCGGCCAUCGCCAGCGCCCUGCACAUGAGCUCUUCUCCGAUCACGGGACAGAUGUCUGUGGCUGCAGAGAAGAACCCGGCCAUCUGGCUGAACACGUCGCAGCCGCUCUGCAAAGCGUUCACCAUCACUGACGAACACAUCAGGGAGCAGGAGCUGAAAGUGUACCAGGCCAGGAGGAGCCUGGAGGAGGCGCUCAUGGCCGACGGUUUGGCUCGGGCCACUGAAAAUACCAGGGAGAUGUUCGAGGGGAAAACGGCCUGAAGACAGAUGAAAUCAUCUGCAGGAAGAGAGAAGAGAAGAGGAGGUUGAAAAAAGAAGUGAUGAAGAGGGAACAAAGAGAGGGAGGGAGGGAUUAGAAGGAUGGAAGAAUUCGAGUCAGAGGAGAAUAUGGACGAAGAGACAGAACGAUGGAGGAAAUGACUGAGAAGAGAUGGAAUGAUGGAGGAUAAAAGAGCAGGAGGAGAGAGGAGGAGGAGAGGAGGGCAGGUUGUUAAUUUCAGGGCUGGUAUCUCUGAGACUGCAGAAUAUCCAGGGUCAUGAGAGCAGGACUUUUAUUCUGAAAGAGAGGCUCUGACCCUGGGACACAGACAGAGGGAGGGAGGAUGUUUGUUGUUCGAAUAAAUCUUCACUUAGUUUAAUUCCACAUUAACAUUUAUAACCCCUAUAACUAUAAACUGAUAAUUACAUAUAAAUACAGGAGCUGAUGGAGGCUUCACAUCUCAAACUAAUGUCACAUCCAUACAACUGAAGGGAUGAAGGAGCAGUAAUAUAUUCGUCAUCAUCAUCCUGGGUCCAACAUCACCUGCUGUAGAACAAGAGGACCAGUGAAAGUGAUGGUUUUAUUUAAGUGACGCAGUCUGGACCGUCCACGUGUCUCUCAGUGAUAAUAGAGUAAGUCCAGACGUCUCCUCCGUGAAACACAGCAGCUCAUUCAACCAUCUGUGCCUGUGCUGUAAUCCGUCACAUCAUCUGGUCAUUAACCUGGAAGGCCUCGGUCGCCGAGGGCAACGACACCACACACAACAUUGUGAUGUGUCACUUCCUGUCAAAGAAACACCUGCUCACACACAGAGAGUUCCUCUGUUCACCAGCCUCAGGUUUAUCAUCAUCUUUAUCUUAACCCAGAUGACAAACCUAAACUUAAACCCGACCUUCACUGACUUAAACCUCGCCAGCAGAGAUCUGUUGUGUUGGAGGCGACUGUUUCAGC